GAUUCGCGAUGCUCAAGAUCUUCUUGGAGAACAUGAUUCACAAGGCUGAGUAAUGGGUUUGAAGUAGUUAACAGUUGCUUUGCAGAGGAGAUUUCCUUGGAUCUUGCUCCUGAGUCAAAGUUUUUCAUAGUUUGGUUAUUGCAAUAUGGAAAUAACCCAACUGUCCGGUUCACUGGCUUGUGGAAUUAUUGUUAAGAAAUGUGAAAGAAGGUCAAUUAAAAACAUGGCGAAAAGAUUUGGGCCCAAAAUCUCAAGGGAAGGCUUAUGUGUCACUAAAACUGAGAAAGUAUGAGUAUGAAGUUGAAGUAUCACAAUCUCAUGCAGAGUGCUGACUAUUUGCAUCCAAUUUCUCUGCUACAGUUAUUAUAUAUUUGUAUUCUCAGCUAAAAUUUAAUUAUUAAGCAUUACAUUAA